rnacentral:tmRNA from 1 species
GGGGUCGACUGGUAUUGACAGCGAGAUUCAUGACGAUGUAAGCAAGUCGAGCGCUGGACUACAGCUCGUAAAUCUCAUAGUACCACCAUUUUAAAUGGCGAGAAUAACUACGCUCUUGCAGCCUAAUUGACUGAAUUAUAGUAAGUCCAGGCCCUAGUCCCGCAAGGCGGGAAGGCAAGAUGUCUUUGGGAAGCCCUUGUUGACGGCGUCCCGCAAAAAGAUACCAUCAAAGUCAACAUAGAGAUCACGGUGCUUCGACGNGUUCUCAAAAUAAAGAAGCUAAGGUAAUUGUGGGCGGUUUUCGGUCAGCAACUAUUCAAAAAUCAAACGAAAACUAAACUUGUAGAAAGCGUUUGAUUGACUUGUUUGGACGAGGGUUCGAUUCCCUCCGACUCCACAA